rnacentral:rRNA from 1 species
UCCUACGGGAGGCAGCAGUGGGGAAUAUUGGACAAUGGGCGAAAGCCUGAUCCAGCCAUGCCGCGUGUGUGAAGAAGGUCUUCGGAUUGUAAAGCACUUUAAGUUGGGAGGAAGGGCAGUAAGCUAAUACCUUGCUGUUUUGACGUUACCGACAGAAUAAGCACCGGCUAACUUCGUGCCAGCAGCCGCGGUAAU